UGAGAGAAAGGAGAGGGUAAAGGG
rnacentral:misc_RNA from 1 species